UACAGAGGGUGCGAGCGUUGUUCGGAAUUACUGGGCGUAAAGCGCGCGCAGGCGGCUCUUUAAGUCUGAUGGUCAAAUGCCGGGGCUCAACCCCGUGCCCGCCAGGGAUACUGGAGAGCUGGAGACACGUAGAGGCAAGCGGAAUUCCGGGUGUAGCGGUGGAAUGCGUAGAGAUCCGGAAGGACACCGGAGGCGAAGGCGGCUUGCUGGGCGUAGUCUGACGCUGAGGCGCGAAAGCGUGGGGAGCAAACAGG
rnacentral:rRNA from 1 species